ACCUAGGACUUGACCAAGGCCACAGCCAGGU
rnacentral:piRNA from 1 species